rnacentral:rRNA from 1 species
CAAUAGCGUAUAUUAAAGUUGUUGCGGUUAAAAAGCUCGUAGUUGGAUUUCUGCUGAGGACGACCGGUCCGCCCUCUGGGUGAGUAUCUGGCUUGGCCUUGGCAUCUUCUUGGAGAACGUAGCUGCACUUGACUGUGUGGUGCGGUAUCCAGGACUUUACUUGAGGAAAUUAGAGUGUUUCAAGCAGGCAUGCGCCUUGAAUACAUUAGCAUGGAAUAAUAAGAUAGGACCUCGGUUCUAUUUUGUUGGUUUCUAGAGCUGAGGUAAUGAUUAAUAGGGAUAGUUGGGGGCAUUCGUAUUUCAUUGUCAGAGGUGAAAUUCUUGGAUUUAUGAAAGAUGAACUUCUGCGAAAGCAUUUGCCAAGGAUGUUUUCAUUAAUCAAGAACGAAAGUUAGGGGAUCGAAGAAGAUCAGAUACC